rnacentral:siRNA from 1 species
UAUAGAUGUCAUAGAUCACUCAAC